rfam:Brassica rapa chromosome A8, whole genome shotgun sequence.
AGAAUAUGAUAUUGAGCCAAAGAUGACUUGCCGAUUUUACCGAUUAUUCUAAAACUGAUAUUGGUACUGAAAUUGGUAGCCGGCAAGUUGACUUUGGCUCUGUUUCAUUCUCU